rnacentral:rRNA from 1 species
CCUACGGGAGGCAGCAGUAAGGAAUAUUGGUCAAUGGAGGCAACUCUGAACCAGCCAUGCCGCGUGCAGGAAGAAGGCCCUAUGGGUCGUAAACUGCUUUUGUACCAGAGAAAACCCGAGUACGUGUACUCGGUUGAUAGUAUGGUAAGAAUAAGCAUCGGCUAACUUCGUGCCAGCAGCCGCGGUAAGACGAAGGAUGCAAGCGUUAUCCGGAUUCAUUGGGUUUAAAGGGUGCGUAGGCGGACUGAUAAGUCAGUGGUGAAAUCUCUCAGCUUAACUGAGAAACUGCCAUUGAUACUGUUAGUCUAGAGUAUAGAUGACGUUGGCGGAAUAUGACAUGUAGUGGUGAAAUACUUAGAUAUGUCAUAGAACACCGAUUGCGAAGGCAGCUAACGAAACUAUAACUGACGCUGAGGCACGAAAGUGCGGGGAUCAAACAGGAUUAGAUACCCUGGUAGUCCGCACCGUAAACGAUGAUUACUCGUUGUUGGCAAUAUGACCGUCAGCGACCAAGCGAAAGCGANAAGUAAUCCACCUGGGGAGUACGCCGGCAACGGUGAAACUCAAAGGAAUUGACGG